rnacentral:rRNA from 1 species
AACGAAAAGAGGGAAAGAGCUUGCUCUUUCCGGAAUUGAGUGGCAAACGGGUGAGUAACACGUAAACAACCUGCCUUCAGGAUGGGGAUAACAACGGGAAACUGUUGCUAAUACCGCAUGAGACCACAACACCGCAUGAUGAAGGGGUCAAAGAUUUAUCGCUUUGAGAGGGGUUCGCGUCCCAUUAGGUAGUUGGAGGGGUAACGGCCCACCAAGCCAACGAUGGGUAGCCGAGCUGAGAGGCUGAUCGGCCACACUGGAACUGAGACACGGUCCAGACUCC